rnacentral:rRNA from 1 species
AUUGAACGCUGGCGGCAGGCCUAACACAUGCAAGUCGAACGAGUGGCGGACGGGUGAGGAAUGUCUGGGAAACUGCCUGAUGGAGGGGGAUAACUACUGGAAACGGUAGCUAAUAACGCAUACCAUCGGAUGUGCCCAGAGGGGAUUAGCUAGUUGGUGGGGUACCGGCUCACCAAGGCGACGAUCCCUAGCUGGUCUGAGAGGAUGACCAGUCACCCUGGAACUGAGACACGGUCCAGACUCCUACGUGAGGCCGCAGUGGUGAAUAUUGCACAAUGGGCGCAAGCCUUAUGCAGCCAUGCCGCGUGUAUGAAGAAGGCCUUCGGGUUGUAAAGUACUUUCAGCGGGGAGGCGUUACCCUCAGAAGAAGCACCGGCUAACUCCGUGCCAGCAGCCGCGGUAAUUC